rfam:Brassica oleracea var. oleracea cultivar TO1000 chromosome C4, whole genome shotgun sequence
GGAAUAUAAGAAAUCGUUUCUUAAAUUUUAAUUAAAAAACUUAAGAACCGGUUCUUAAAUAUCUUAUUUAAGAACCGGUUCUUAAUUUUUUUAGUUAAAAGUUAAGAGAUAGAUUUUUAUAUUCC